UACAGAGGGUGCGAGCGUUGUCCGGAAUCACUGGGCGUAAAGGGCGCGUAGGCGGCCUGAUAAGUAGGGGGUGAAAUCUUGCGGCUCAACCGCAAGGCUGCCUUCUAAACUGUCAGGCUGGAGCACGGUAGAGGCAGAUGGAAUUCCCGGUGUAGCGGUGGAAUGCGUAGAGAUCGGGAAGAACACCAGUGGCGAAGGCGGUCUGCUGGGCCGUUGCUGACGCUGAGGCGCGACAGCGUGGGGAGCAAACAGGAUUAGAU
rnacentral:rRNA from 1 species